rnacentral:rRNA from 1 species
GACGAACGCUGGCGGCGUGCCUAAUACAUGCAAGUCGACCUUAGUGGCGAACGGGUGAGUAACACGUGGGUAACAUGCCCAUAAGAAGGGGAUAACACUUGGAAACAGGUGCUAAUACCGUAUACUGAUGGAUGGACCAGCGGUGCAUUAGCUAGUUGGUGAGGUAACGGGUCCACAAGGCCACGAUGCAUAGCCGAGUUGAGAGGGGGAUCUGCCAACUUGGGACUGAGACAAGGCCCAAACUCCUACGGGAGGCAGCAGUGGGGAAUAUUCGGCAAUGGACUAAAGUCGGACCGAGCAACGCCGCGUGAGUGAAGAAGGGUUUCGGAUUGUAAAACUCUGUUGUUAGAGAAGCGGUAUCUAACCAGAAAGCCACGGCUAACUACGUGCCAGCAGCCGCGGUAAUAC